GGAGAGAGAGAGAAGAGAGAGAGGCGGCACAGGAUAGAAGGGGAGAGAGCUCGACGGUUAGGGUUUUCGGCCUCCGGAAAUUCUCUGCAGAGCUUCGCUUCAGAUUUGUGAUGAGGCAAAAAGGGAGGCUGCAUCUCUUUUUAUAGGAAAGGAGAAGGGAAACCCUAGGUUUUUGCCAAAUGGGCCGUAGAGAAGCCCAUAUUCUUUGGGAAAUUUUACGGGCCAGGAACUGGGCCGUUACAUCUAGACCUUGAAAUUACUGACCUUGAGGGCUUCACCGAGAUGCACAGUGGUCUCAUAUCUCUGAGCCUAAAAAGACACAGUAAUCUAGUAUGUCUGAACUUGGGUUCUCUUGAAAAGCUCGUCCAUUUUCGGUGUUCUGACUCAUUCGAAUUCCUUAGUCAGGGUUUUGGUCUGAAUCAUCCCGGUAUCAGCAGAUUUGAAGAGCCUUCCCGGGUCCUUGAAAUAGAAUCAUCUCAACCCCAACAACGGUUUGAUAACGUCUUAUCGUCUCAUCUCAAAAUCACCAAUAUCACAUAAACCAGAUUAAACAACUUCAGAAGCAAACAUGUUUUGAGAUGUGUUUGAGUUAGAGACAGGACGCUUUAUUUGGUACUUGGGCGUCACGUUAAG